AUGCUGGAGGUAUCAGAAGUGCGAAUGCUGACAUAAGUAACGAUAAAGCGGGUGAAAAGCCCGCUCGCCGGAAGACCAAGGGUUCCUGUCCAACGUUAAUCGGGGCAGGGUGAGUCGACCCCUAAGGCGAGGCCGAAAGGCGUAGUCGAUGGGAAACAGGUUAAUAUUCCUGUACUUGGUGUUACUGCGAAGGGGGGACGGAGAAGGCUAUGUUGGCCGGGCGACGGUUGUCCCGGUUUAAGCGUGUAGGCUGGUUUUCCAGGCAAAUCCGGAAAAUCAAGGCUGAGGCGUGAUGACGAGGCACUACGGUGCUGAAGCAACAAAUGCCCUGCUUCCAGGAAAAGCCUCUAAGCAUCAGGUAACAUCAAAUCGUACCCCAAACCGACACAGGUGGUCAGGUAGAGAAUACCAAGGCGCUUGAGAGAACUCGGGUGAAGGAACUAGGCAAAAUGGUGCCGUAACUUCGGGAGAAGGCACGCUGAUAUGUAGGUGAAGUCCCUCGCGGAUGGAGCUGAAAUCAGUCGAAGAUACCAGCUGGCUGCAACUGUUUAUUAAAAACACAGCACUGUGCAAACACGAAAGUGGACGUAUACGGUGUGACGCCUGCCCGGUGCCGGAAGGUUAAUUGAUGGGGUUAGCGGUAACGCGAAGCUCUUGAUCGAAGCCCCGGUAAACGGCGGCCGUAACUAUAACGGUCCUAAGGUAGCGAAAUUCCUUGUCGGGUAAGUUCCGACCUGCACGAAUGGCGUAAUGAUGGCCAGGCUGUCUCCACCCGAGACUCAGUGAAAUUGAACUCGCUGUGAAGAUGCAGUGUACCCGCGGCAAGACGGAAAGACCCCGUGAACCUUUACUAUAGCUUGACACUGAACAUUGAGCCUUGAUGUGUAGGAUAGGUGGGAGGCUUGGAAGUGUGGACGCCAGUCUGCAUGGAGCCGACCUUGAAAUACCACCCUUUAAUGUUUGAUGUUCUAACGUUGACCCGUAAUCCGGGUUGCGGACAGUGGCUGGUGGGUAGUUUGACUGGGGCGGUCUCCUCCUAAAGAGUAACGGAGGAGCACGAAGGUUGGCUAAUCCUGGUCGGACAUCAGGAGGUUAGUGCAAUGGCAUAAGCCAGCUUGACUGCGAGCGUGACGGCGCGAGCAGGUGCGAAAGCAGGUCAUAGUGAUCCGGUGGUUCUGAAUGGAAGGGCCAUCGCUCAACGGAUAAAAGGUACUCCGGGGAUAACAGGCUGAUACCGCCCAAGAGUUCAUAUCGACGGCGGUGUUUGGCACCUCGAUGUCGGCUCAUCACAUCCUGGGGCUGAAGUAGGUCCCAAGGGUAUGGCUGUUCGCCAUUUAAAGUGGUACGCGAGCUGGGUUUAGAACGUCGUGAGACAGUUCGGUCCCUAUCUGCCGUGGGCGCUGGAGAACUGAGGGGGGCUGCUCCUAGUACGAGAGGACCGGAGUGGACGCAUCACUGGUGUUCGGGUUGUCAUGCCAAUGGCACUGCCCGGUAGCUAAAUGCGGAAGAGAUAAGUGCUGAAAGCAUCUAAGCACGAAACUUGCCCCGAGAUGAGUUCUCCCUGACCCUUUAAGGGUCCUGAAGGAACGUUGAAGACGACGACGUUGAUAGGCCGGGUGUGUAAGCGCAGCGAUGCGUUGAGCUAACCGGUACUAAUGAACCGUGAGGCUUAACCUU
rnacentral:rRNA from 1 species